rnacentral:sRNA from 1 species
UUUGGUGGAACAUCGGCUAAGGUCGCUACGUCCAUUCCUGUGGCAACGCCGCUGAACUUACAUCCUGUGAG